rnacentral:tRNA from 1 species
ACCUUAUAAAUAUUAAAGUAUAUUUGACUUCCAAUCAAAAAGUCCUAGCUAGAAACCUAGGAUAAGGUA